rnacentral:rRNA from 1 species
GAUGAACGCUGGCGGCGUGCUUUAUACAUGCAAGUCGAGCGAACAGACGAGGAGCUUGCUCCUCUGAUGUUAGCGGCGGACGGGUGAGUAACACGUGGAUACCCUGCCUAUAAGACUGGGAUAACUUCGGGAAACCUGAGCUAAUACCGGAUAACAUGUUGAACCGCAUGGUUCAACAGUGAAAGACGGUCUUGCUGUCACUUAUAGAUGUAUCCGCGCCGCAUUAGCUAGUUGGUAAGGUAACGGCUUACCAAGGCAACGAUGCGUAGCCGACCUGAGAGGGUGAUCGGCCACACUGGAACUGAGACACGGUCCAGACUCCUACGGGAGGCAGCAGUAGGGAAUCUUGCGCAAUGGGCGAAAGCCUGACGGAGCAACGCCGCGUGAGUGAAGAAGGUCUUCGGAUCGUAAAACUCUGUUAUUAGGGAAGAACAAAUGUGUAAGUAACUAUGCACGUCUUGACGGUACCUAAUCAGAAAGCCACGGCUAACUACGUG